AGCACUACGUUCCGGAUCAAGGAAAGAACUCGUGUUUUAGAAUGGGUCUGCUCUAAAAUAUGAGUUGUCUCUCUUUGUAUUGUAACAUUUUAGCUCACCUGAACCGAAGGUUCAAGUGGGCUUUUCUGAUCCAAAUUUGUUCGUUGUCUGUCGUCUUUGUAAACUUUUUCAAAAUUUUAUCUUCUUCAGAACUACUAGGCCAAUUCAAACCAAACUUGGCCAAAAGCAUCCGUGGGUGAAGGGCUUUCACGUUUGUUCAAAUGAAGGACCAUGUCCCUUUCAAAGGGGAGAUAAUCGCAAAAAUAAGGUGGGGUCAUUUAAAAAUCUUCUCAAGAACCACUGGGCCAGAAGAGCUGAAAGCUUCCUGACAUAUUGCAGAUUCAAGUUUGUUCAAAUCAUGGUCCCCGGGGGUAGGAUGGGGCCACAAGGGGGAUCAAUGUUUUACAUACAAAUAUAUAGGGGGAAACUUUAAAAAUCUUCUCAAUAACCACUAAUCCAGAAAAGCUGAGAUUUACAUGAAAGCUUCCUGACAUAAUGUAGAUUGAAGUUUGUUCAAAUCAUGGGUCCCGGGUGUUGGAUGGGGCCACAAUAGGGGAUCAAAGUUUUACAUACAAAUAUAUAGGAAAAAUCUUUAAAAAAUUUCUUCUCAAGAACCACUGAGCCAGAAAAGCUGAUUUUUACAUGAACACUUUCUGACAUUGUGCAGAUUCAAGUUUGUUCAAAUCAUGGCCCCCGGGGGUAGGAUGGGGCCACAAGUGGGGGGUGGGGGUUAAAGUUUUACAUACAAAUAUAGGCAAAAUCUUUAAAAAUCAGUACAAAAACCAAUAUUUUCGCAUUUAUUAAGAAUUAAUACUUCUAUGUGUGAUACAGUUUUGAUUUCCUACUUAAAACAUCGCUUGGGGAGAACCCUCGUAUAUAUUACCGUCUGUAGACGCAAUGGUUUCCGGGCUCUAAAGCAUUAUCCUUUCCACCUACCGUCACCAUAUCAUUUAUAUGGACUUCCCAUGGGAUGAAGAUGUUCGCUAUCGAUUUUGGGGUCCAAAGGUCAAGCGCACUGGACAUCGAAGUAGCAAUAUGGUUUCCGGACUCUAAAGCGUUAUCCUUUCCACCUACAGUCACCAUAUCAUACAUAUGGACUACCCAUGGGAUGAAGAUGUUCCCUAUUGAUUUUGAGGUCAAAGGUCAAGCACACUGGACAUUGAAGUAGCAAUAUGGUUUCCAGGCUUUAAAGCGUUAUCCUUUCCACCUACAGUCACCAUAUCAAACAUAUGGACUACCCAUGGGAUGAAGAUGUUCCCUAUCGAUUUUGGGGUCGAAAGGUCAAGCGCUCUGGAUAUUGAAGUAGCAAUAUGGUUUCCGGGCUCUAAAGUGUUAUCCUUUCCACCUACAGUCACCAUAUCAAACAUAUGGACUACCCAUGGGAUGAAGAUGUUCCCUAUUGAUUUUGGGGUCAAAGGUCAAGCGCACUGGACAUUGAAGUAGCAUUAUGGUUUCAGGGCACUAAAGCGUUAUCCUUUCCAUCUACAGUCACCAUAUCAUAUAUAUGGACUACCCAUGAGAUGAAGAUGUUCCCUAUCGAUUUUGAGGUCAAAGGUCAUGCGCACUGGACAUCGAAGUAGCAAUAUGAUUCGGUUUGUCAUGCCAUUUGUUUUUUUACACUCACAAAAGAGGUAGUUUAUACCUAUUACCAACACCCUUUGGGAGAUUGGGGUAAGCGGGGGGUAUUCUUAGUGAGCAUUGCCCACAGUACCUCUUGUUCAUACUGAAUUCAUUGUGUGGUGGCAGAUUGAAAUGUGUGAGUGUUACCUAGGUUGUUCAUAUUGAAUUCAAUGUGUACAUUACUUUUAAGAUAUAAAAUUGUUUAUCAAUGCAUACCAAUGGCAGUGGGUCACGGAAGAGUAGUCGUCCGUGAGGAGAAGGAUGCUGGCAGGUAGGUAGUGGCUCUGUUUCCUGGAACUCAUCGGACGCUGUCGCUGUCUGUAAUGUAAAGAUAUAAUUGAGAUGUAAUUUGUUCAUACUGAAUUCAUUGUGUGGUGGCAGACUGAAAUGUAUGAAUGUUACGGAGGUUGUUCAUAUUGAAUUCAAUGUGUGAUAGCAAUGACCUGUCCACAUCUGCUAUUUUCUUGUAAUUCAAUUGUUUUUAAAAAGGCCCCUGAACAAUGCAAUUUCAAUGUAAUUGUAAUUUCCCCCUCUAAAUACCUGUAUAUGUAUUAUAAAUUACACAAUCAAAAACCAAACAAUAAUUUGCACAAUAAUUUCUAAAACUUGUAACCUAUUGAAAUAAAUUGUCAUCAAUUUAUGAUACCUCUAUAUUAUAACAGAAAUUAUUCAUUGAGUCAAUGACAGAGAGAGAGAGAAAGAUGGGGUGGGUGUAGAAUGUGUGUCAGCUACCCUUAGGAUGAAUACAACCAUUAUUCAAACACUAUGGCCAAAGAAACUCUGCAGAGGUCCCUGAGACAGGUCCUGUGUAUAUCAAAACUAUAACAAAGCAUGGACAGGUAGAUUUCUACCAUGUUGUCUCUGUAUUUCUUUGAGUGCCAUGGGAUAUAGCAAUUACACCUUGGUAGACCCUGGCCACUCCAGGUAAAUAACAUCUGUUUAGAUUAGGCUCCGCCUACAUUUUUUUCACUGACCGUACGGUCAUGAGAUGGGUCUUUAAAAUAUAAAAUUGUUUAUCAAUGCAUACGAAUGGCAGUGGGUCGUCCUCAUCUGUUAUUUUCUCAAUGAUUGGUCCAGAUGGGCCUGCUUCCAGUGCCUGUGCCUAAUGGUAAUACAAAUAUGAAUUUCAAAGAAUUGUAUUUUCAUGAUUGAAAAUUCUUGUCACUUCUUGUAUCUAAAUUAAACAAAAAUAUACCUCUUCUUGAUGUCUGUUCCUCAUCACGUUCUUAAUGACUCGGACCAUCCGGACUGAAUUUUUUUUCUGUUGGGUCAGCAUAUAAUAUUUGUCUUGGGUUGCUGAACGGUGGCUCAUCUGCUGAGCCAACGGGUCCUUUGCUUGAGGAAACUUAUCACGGACAGUAGUAAUAGAAUGGCGGUACUAAAACAGAUUAAACUCCUCCUACUUUACUAUAUAAGUUAUACCAAUUAUGUAAAUAUCUUGGAAGGCUCAACAACCUCCACUAUAUAGCCAUACCAAUUAUGUAAAUAAAUUGGAAGGCUCGCAUUUAAACUCCAGCCACUUUUACUAUAUAAGUUAUACCAAUUAUUUAAAAUAACUUGCAAGAUUCAACAACCUCCUCUACACUAAUUAUACCAAUUAUGUAAAUAAGCAGAUGUCAAUUACAUAUAGCGGUUAAAUUAAAUCCCGCUCACAUUUAAUAUGUGUAAAUAAAUUGGAAGGCACAGAUAUAAACUCCGCCCACUUUCAUUUUACAAGUUAUACCAAUUAUUUAAAUUAACACGGAAGGUUCAACAACCUCCACCAGACUAAUUACAUACCAAUUAUAAGCAUGUAUCAAUCAAAUUGAAACGUUCAGAAUAAACUCCACCCACAUUGAAUAUGUGUAUAUAUCAAUUAUGUAAAUAAUUUGGAUGGUUAAACAAGCUAUAUAAAUUAUACCAAGUAUGUAAAUAAACAUAUAUGCCAAUUACCUCAAUUAUGUAAAAUAAAUUGGAAGGUUCAACAAUCUCCACUAUAAAGAUGAUAUAUGCUUAGUUACAUAAUUGGUAUAAUUAGUAUAACAUUAUUUAGAAUAAUUCGGAAGGUUCAACGACCUCCACAACACUAACUGUACCAAUUAUCUAAAUAAACAUAUGUCAAUUAAAAUGUAAAGAUGACUAUCGGGUAAAGAGAGAUAACUCAACAAGUGACAAAUAAGAUGACACAUUUAUUCACUUUCAACAAAUCUUUGAAACGUUGAACAGCGGUCAUCGCACAUUUCCAUUGCAAAUGAUGCUAAAAUGUGUAAUAUUUCUUCUAUACAACAUCAUUGAAGAAUAAGGUAAAACAGAUGUUUCUUAAUUUGUUUAUUAAAGAAAUAAAAAAUAUGUAACAUAAUAUAAAUCAAUAUAUUACAGUAUGAUUAGUGAUUGCUAACAUAGGAAGUAGCACUCAUUAGGCACAAAUCAAUAAAUUCACGGGAUAUUAAAAUGUGAAGGAUUAUAUAUUAGAACGAAAAUUGUUAAUUAGAAUGAAAAUUAUCAUAGUGGAAAAUCAUUAAUUAAAAUCAAUAAGCCUUCAGUAGGAUGAAAAUAAUUAAAAGGUAAAUAAUUGCUGAUUAACUAGUGAUUAGAUAAGAAAAUAAUCUAAGUAUAAAGCAAAAGCCACGCAAUGGGGAAUAAAAAAUGCAAAACAAAAUAUUUGCACACAAUGAUAGCAUGUAACACCUUGGACAAAACUAUAAAUUUAUACAAAGCAGGAGAAAUUAAAUAUUUACAUGAAAUGAUUAUUAAUUGGAAUGAAUGCUUAAUCAAAACUAUAAAUUCAUACAAAUCAGGAGAAAUUAAAUAUUUACAUAAAAUGAUUAUUAAUUGGAAUGAAAGCUUAAUCAAAAGUUUUAUAUAUUUCUAGCGAAAAAAAAAAAUGAUGAUGUCAACCCGCAAAAGUAAGUAAAUAAGUGAGGUUAUAAAGAGUAAAUAGACAUGCUGUAAAUACAUGUAGUUGUAAGUGGGAGCUUCACAGAGAAACCAGCUGUAAAUAUAAAAAUGUAUACUCACUUUCUCUCAUGAAAAAUAAUAAAUAUUGAAUUACUUAAGAAUAUAAUGACUACAAGUUUAGCACAUUUCCACUGUUUUAGACUUGAACAUCACUGAAGAGACAUUAUUUGUCAAAAUGCACAUCUGAUGCAUCAAAAUUAGCAGCAUGUAAGUUUUACAUUGAACACAUGUUAAGAUGGCUCACUACACCUCGAAAUAGUUUCUCAAGUCAGUACGAAUUAAUUUAAUCAUAAAAGAUAUGAUGAUAUAUAAUAAGUAUAUAUGCCAAAAUGGGAGAAAAUAUGUGAAUUUGGAUAAAACAUGAUUUUCGAAAAUUAUUUCAGCACAUGAACAAAAGACUCUAGGGGAUUUGAACUUGAGAUCUGUGGUUCACAAGCCCAAUGCUUUAAUCACCGAGCUAUGAUGAUGGACAAGAAAUCGAUCGAUACAAAUAAUUUCACAAAACAUUUAAAUCGGCCAUCUUGUAACAUAUAGUCAUAAAGAGUAUAAGCUUUAGUGUAGUGAGCUAUCUUAAUUCUACAAAGCAACUAUUAUGUGAUAUGUAGCACUAUUAAAAAAUAAGUGGAAUUAGGUGUGUGCUGUUCAUGUCGCACUGCACAAAAUUCCUAACCUUUUCAGAAUGGUUCCUCGCACACUUUAGAAGGUGGCGAGGAUAUCUCUCAGCCAAAAUAACAUGACAUCUGUCGAAGAAGCACACAACAUAUGCAUCGCUCGAACUAGCAGUCAUUUUUUUCUCAAUGAAUUCAAAGUGAUUAAAACUACACAAUGCACUUCAGUAUAUAUAGCUCCUAUCCCCCUACGAUUUAAAUAUGGUUUAAUUUUUUCUUGUUUAGGAUAAUUGACAUAUACAUUAAUUUGUUUCUGUUUAUUGCAUACAUUGAUAUUAAUUAAGAUUAAUCAUAAAUGAAGUUUAAUGGGUAUUGCAUGGCAAAGUAGUUUCCUCCUCCUAUACAUCAUCAAAUUUGCAAAUCAUGGAUUUAUUUAUUGUGUGUCAAAGUAGUUUCCUCAUCCUAUACAUCAUCAUCAAAAUUUGCAAAUCAUCGAUUUAUUUAGAUUUUAUACAUGGGAGGAAUAAAGUUCCUUAUUUGAUGGAAUGUUGGUUUGUUAAAAAUCUGUAGACUCAAUUUUGUUUAAUUCUUAAUGCUCUGUAAGCAUCUUAUGAAUUGAUGUUUUCGUUAAUAUGCAUAAACAAACAGAUAUCAAUGUAUGUGACCAUCUGUUUAUGAGUGAUCGCUUGUGAGAGCGUCACACAUAUAUAUUUGAAAAUGGGGUUACUAUGAUGUCACACUAUUUAUGGAAAUACAACGUGCAGCGUUCCAAUGCUACCACAAUUGUGAAAAAAUUGUUAUCCCUUUCAGAGUUCAGUUUGUAACUGACAGAAAUAAAUAGAAUGCAACUAUUUUAAAGCAACGAAUUAGGAGGUUUCAAAUUUAAAAGCAAAAACAUAGCGAAAAUUAAGAGAAGUAGUGAAAUAAUGUUGAGUUUUCAGUUGUAAUAAGAUCACACUUAGCAAAAUUCUGAACAUCUUUAUAUUUUCAGUUGAGACAUGUAUUGAGUGAAAGAGUUGUUUAUUAUGUAAAAAUAAAUUGGCGAUAGAUGUCACAGUUCACACAUGACAUGCAAAACUAAAAUACUGUGCUACAUAGGAUCCGCGCUAUCAUAUGAUGGGAGUAUGUACAUACACCUAUUUUGAUCGACUUGAUUUUUACAUUUGUAUUUAUCAUUCCCCCAUGUAACAAAGAGUACCAUUCACUGUAUGCCAUUUUCUAUGGAAAAAUGUACAUACUCGCGUCUAUUUUGAUUGAUUUAUUGGAAAAUGAGUGAUUUUCCUUAAUAAAUUAUUUCUUUCGUGACAAAGUAAUUUCCUUAUGUGACAAAGAUCUCUAUUCAUUGUACACGUUUUUCUAUAGAGUGUGAAAAUGUAUAUAUAUACACCACUAAUUUUGAAGUUCCACAUCAGCCGCAUUGAACAAUUGAUAUUUGCAUACCCGGAGAAUGACGUCCAAAAUAAAUUUUGAACUAAAAUUUGCCAAACCCGGGGAUGCUGCCCCCCAGUUUGUUAGUAGGAACUCCUCAGAUCAACAAUCUGGACAGUUUUCAGUACAGAUGUCCCUAUUUAUGGGGAAAGUCUACUGCCAUCUGCAAAACAAUAAGAAGGGGACACAGACUAGCUUCCCCAUGACGGCCAUGCAUGGUCUGUUUGAAAUUAGGGAGGAAAUACAGGCAGCAGCGGAUACACUCCUGAAUUUUGCAGGUCCACCAUCCCCACCAUUGGUGAGUAAUAGUUAGAUGUAUAAUCUUUGCAUUGUCUGUGGGUAAUCGACGAGCUUCACUUCUCUAAACGGGAUAAAUUUACGUUGCAGAUAGCGCUACCUCCUGCCAAAAAAAGGAGGGUGUUUUUUAAGAAAAAAAUGGUUGCAGAGGAUUCUGACGGUGACAACGAGGACGAAAUUCUCGCCAUUUGAUAUCUUAUUUUAAAAGAACAUUUAUUCUUGUAAUAUGGGGAAUGGUUUAUUGCAAUAACUUUUUACUCAAGAUGCUCUAUAUCAACAAAUGUAUAUUCACAUAUAUUUUUAAAAAAAUUGAAACUAGGAGGCUAAUUUUUUUAUUUGUAACGUGGGAGAAUGGCUUAUUCGUAUAUUGAUGAAACUAAUUAUUCUAAAAAAAAAAUUAAAAUUGAUAGGUUGUGAAUUGUGGGAAAGAAAAAAUGGAGGGAAAAGAGAAAAAGGAAGUUGAGGAAAUGUUUCGCUUAGUACAUCAUUUGCUUCAAGAUAUUGACAGCAAAGUCCAAGAAAUUGAGAAGAGUGAGAAGCAAACUCUAAUUAUUAUGAACUAUUUAAAUCAACUAUGCUUUAAACAGUACUGUUUCUGCCAAUCGCUGAAUUGUGGGAAUGAAAAAUAUGGUGAAAAAGAGAAAGAGGAAAUAGCGGAAAUGUCUCUAUUAGUUUGUAAUUUAUUUCAAGAUAUUGACAGCAAACUUCAAGAAAUAGAAAAGGGUGGGAAACAGGUUCGAAUAAUUAUAGAACGUAUUAAACAGUACAGCGUUAAAUUCUGUUUCUGUCAAUCAUAGGGUAAUGAGAGUUCUACGCCAACCAGUUCCACGCAAAAGCAUAUAUAGACCAUACCUCACUUUGUGAAUAAAUUAAAGAGAUCAUUAUUUGUAAAACCUUUAAUUCAUUAUAUACAUUGUAACAAGAAUGUUUGCAAUAAAUAUGUGAAUAUAAACAUGAAAACUUAUUCAUUUAUUUUAUAAUGACCAUAGGAAUAACCCUCAAUUCCACAUGGUUCUAGCCAAUAUCGUUUGUCGUCAAAUGAUGAGAAAGAUACCUUAUGGAUGGAUUUUAGAUACAAGUUAUGGUUGUCACUUCGUAUAGAGCGCAUAUUAUGUCUUUCAUAUUCACCGUUAAAAAGGCAGUCGACAUAUUGUUUGUACAUGAUUUCUUUGCUAACCACGGUUUUUGAAACGCCUUUAGCUUUCUUAACUUCUUUUCCAUCGUUGACGACAAAGGAAUACAUUUUUGGUCGUAGACCCGCAAAUCCCCUCACGACAGUUCCUAUAAAAGAAUCCCACAUUAUUUUGGAUAAAAGAAUUCAACGUUCUGGGAAAAUAAUGAAUAUUUUGGAGAUUUUCAUUGGAAUAGGUUAUUAACAUUUGUACUUGUAAUAUGUUAAACUUACCAGCUGUUUCAUCUUUCAUUUUGCCAACCACCUUCUUGUUUUUGUCACUAAAUAAGAAGUGCUCUCUUGGGUAGUUUGAGGUAUCGAACAGAUCCAUAUGUUCAUGUAUCUCAUUAUACAGAUCUUGGACCUCAAAUCUAUGGUGCAAACAUAUGAAAAAAGAAA